GUCUACGGCCAUGCCACCCUGAAUGUGCCCGAUUCUGUCUGAUCUAGGAAGCUAAGCAGGGUCGGGCCUGGUUAGUACUUGGAUGGGAGACCAACUAGGAAGACCAGGUGCUGUAGGAG
rnacentral:rRNA from 1 species